GCAUUUAAGACAUGCAAGUCGAACGAAAAUUUACGCUUAAAGAGUUGAUUAGUUUACUAAGAGAUGAUUUAUUGUAAAUUUUAGUGGCGGACUGGUGAGUAAUACAUAGGUAAUCUGCCUUUUAGAGGGGAAUAACUAGGAGAAAUCCUAGCUAAUACCGCGUAAGACCACACUUAGGCAUCUAAGAGAGGUCAAAGGAGUAAUCCGCUAAAAGAUGAGCCUGUGGCUGAUUAGUUAGUUGGUGGGGUAAGAGCCUACCAAGACGAUGAUCAGUAGCCGAGCUGAGAGGCUGGCCGGCCACAUUGGGACUGAGAUACGGCCCAGACUCCUACGGGAGGCAGCAGUUGGGAAUAUUGGACAAUGGAGGAAACUCUGAUCCAGUGACGCCGCGUGAAGGAAGAAGGUCUUCGGAUUGUAAACUUAUUUUAUCAGGGAAGAAGAAAGUGACAGUACCUGAAGAAAAAGGACCGGCAAACUACGUGCCAGCAGCCGCGGUAAUACGUAGGGUCCAAGCGUUAUCCGGAUUUACUGGGUGUAAAGGGCGAGUAGACGGCGCUGUAAGUCAGCUGUGAAAACUUAGGGCUCAACCUUAAGCCUGCAGCUGAAACUGUAGUGCUAGAGUGCAGGAGAGGUAAGCGGAAUUCCUAGUGUAGCGGUGAAAUGCGUAGAUAUUAGGAGGAACACCAGUGGCGAAGGCGGCUUACUGGACUGUAACUGACGUUGAGGCGCGAAAGUGUGGGGAGCAAACAGGAUUAGAUACCCUGGUAGUCCACACCGUAAACGAUGGAUACUAGGUGUAGGCGAGAUAUCGUCUGUGCCGGCGGGAACCCAAUAAGUA
rnacentral:rRNA from 1 species